GAUAUCAUAAGGUGUCAGUCGCUCUGGAUAAGAGCGUCUGCUAAAUGACGUAAA
rfam:Salmo salar isolate Sally breed double haploid chromosome ssa03, whole genome shotgun sequence.